rnacentral:antisense_RNA from 1 species
UGUGGGAGCGAGCUUGCUCGCGAUAGCGGUGGCUCAGACAACUUUAUCUUGGCUGGUCUAUCGCUAUCGCGAGCAAGCCCGCUCCCACA